GUCAAUCACAGAGUACAAAGGAUUACAACAAAAAGGAAAUGAUAACUAUACAAAAGGCUCAAGACAAGCACACACUUAAGCUCACUCCUAUUUUCUAUACAAAUCAAAGAAACCCCACUGCCACUCCAAUAAGCAAACCAGCAUAACAGGGAAACAAGGCAUAUACAACAGCAAAAAAUAGAAAAGGAGAGCACUUGAUAAAAUUCAUAAAGAGAGAUGAAAUAUAACAUACCAUUAGUUACUACAUAAAAUUAGGAGGCAAAUGUCCUUUCCGAGAUCUUUUUGCGGUGAAG
rnacentral:lncRNA from 1 species